CCGCGGGGCAGCCCCGGAGCCGCCUCAGCACCGCGUUUCCAAAUAUUUAUCCGAAGGGCUCAAAGGAAGGCUGCGUCCUGCAACCCGACUAUAAAUCAGCGGUAAAAUAGACUGUUCCAGGGUUCGUAUCUACAGAAGUGAAUAGUGAUAACUUGACGUUUGCGUGUAGAAGUGGAUGUAACCAGACUGGGAAGAAGAAAGAACCUGAGUUUACAGGGUGAAAUAAAAAAGAAAUGCUAAGUAAGGAGGAAAAAUAGCGUCCUGACAAGAGAAGUAUCUGAACACACAAGGUUUGCUAGAGCCAUUAUUUUAAGACCAGAAAGGACUCUUUUGACUAUUUCACACCGUGCCAUAAAGCUUCAGCACGAUUCCCCCUGACAUCGCGUACGCCGGCAAGUAAUUACAACAGUUUCCACAAGCAGGAAAAGGUAGGGAGCUGCAAGACAAGCCGGACUGUUACCUGACCAGGGAGGGGGCUGACUUCAGCUCCACCAUUCAUCUGCUCUCACCCCUGCGACCACUCCUGGGAAUCGCGCAAGCAAGCCCAGUCCCCGUGCACCAGAGAAGGAACUGCUGUAACCAGCGUCACCCAACGCGUGGGGCGAUUCACAAGACACACAGAGCAACAGGAAUAUCUUCAACGGGAAAUUUAGAAGUGAAAUAAAAUAUAUGGGAGCAAAUCAACUGUAAACCAGACAGCCAAAUACAUUCCAAGGAAGACACCAAAGAAUAUUAACUCAGGAACAACCACAGUCGUGGAUAAAAAACCUGGAGUUAACUGACGGGGGGAAAAAAAAAAAGAAUGCUUCUCCUGGCAGACUGAGGUGCAGAAAUUACAUAUGCUUGGCUGUAUUUCUACAUUUCAUAAACUACAGAUUUCUUCAUUCACAAAAAAGUUGGUGAAUAGAGAAAAGCAGAUACCUAGUGGAAGAAUAUAAUUCGAGGUUCACAUUUGCUUAAAUACAAUUCUACACACUUUUUUUUUUUUUUCAAUAAGAAGCCCUGCAUAUCAACACUAUAGAUUUUAAGCUGUACCAUGAAAACCUUCUUGAUCACACCUACCUGAAUCAGGGAGUAAUUCAAAGGUAUUCUAGCUCCCUGCUUCUGAAAAGCAGUAAUACAUAUUCUAGAAGAAUUAACUUUUGACAAAAUUAUGUCAAAAUUGUCUACGUGUGGACUAGGGAAAAUUCUCUUUAGCAGGAGAAAUACAGCUGCCAUCACCUAAAGCAGUAUAAAACGUUAAAGGAAAAAAAAACAACAGUUAUCUUCGGCUUACAUUUUUGAUGCUGUCUCUCUGCUUUAUUCUCUCUAUUUACUCAUUAAAGCUAUUUUCA